AGCCUCGAGGUGUGUAUACAUGUAAGAUUGCAAAUCUUAAGUGGCAGGGUAAUACCCCGCCGAGGCUU
rnacentral:tRNA from 1 species